GCUAUUACCUCUGUCUAGUCCUCAGGUGGGAACCGGAGGGCAUGGUCCGUGGGCCAGGGGGUGCCACAAUUUUCCAGACUGAUCUAGCAGUUGUGAUUCCUUCCGAGUCCUACAGCCCUGGUUUAAAUCCCCGCCCCCACAGCUUUAAAGGACUAAAAUAAACAGGAAGUUUCCGUUUCACCUCGCUCUCACUGAGGCUUGGGCAGCAUGUGGUUUUAGCUGUCCAGUUCCGUAUCUCUCUUGAAGGACCUUUCAGGCCGAGCUGACAGCCAUCACCGAUCAGCCCCGACAGGCCUCCCUUCUCCUGCUUCCUGGAAUUGUAUUCCUUGGCUGGGAGAGGAGCAGAUGGUAAAUCGGAUGAGUCACCAGCUCCUCAACCUCCCACUUGCAGAAGCCAGCGAGAGCAGAGCUAACCGGACUCUGCCCUGAGGGAGAAGCAGUCGCGGCACUCUCUCUGAGGCAUGUGGGAUCUGAGUUCCCUGACCAGGGAUCAAACCACGACCCCUGCACUGCAAGGUGAAUUCCCAACCACUGGACCACCAGGGAAGUCCCCAACGUGCACCUUCUAUUCCCUCGAGCUUGCCUAGGGUCAGCCCUCCAACUUCAUCCAGUCCCAGACCAGGCUGGGGGGACAGUGAGAAUUGGACUCUGAAUGCAUCCACACUGACCUUCCAGAAGCUUCGGCUGGAGGCACUUUCCAGGCCUCACUCCAUAGCAGCAUCAGUGGACUGGAACUGCCUUGUUCCUUACCAGGUGCCCUGCCCACACAGUUUGGUGGGUUGGGGGCCACUCUGUCCCCAGGGGGCAGUUUCUAGUCUGGCACUAGCGUCCCCCCACCUGGCGAUGAUAACCCUCAGACUCUAGGGCAUCGUCCAGAAUGUUGAUGGUUGGGAGAUGGCUCUGGAAAUGACCAAGGUUAAAAAAUAACUAAACAGUGCCUCCCAUCCUGCCACCCCAACUCCCUGCCGGGCUAUAUGU
ensembl:lncRNA